GACGAGCCACACAAACGUUAUUCGGAAUUACUGGGCUUAAAGGGUGCGUAGGCGGCGCGGAAAGUUGGGUGUGAAAUCCCUCGGCUUAACCGAGGAAUUGCGCUCAAAACUUCCGUGCUUGAGGGAGAUAGAGGAAUGCGGAACUUAGGGUGGAGCGGUGAAAUGCGUUGAUAUCCUAGGGAACACCGGUGGCGAAAGCGGCAUUCUGGAUCUCAUCUGACGCUGAUGCACGAAAGCUAGGGUAGCGAACGGG
rnacentral:rRNA from 1 species